rnacentral:lncRNA from 1 species
AGGGUCAUCCAUGAUGAGCAUCUGUUCCCAGUGCCAGGACACGAAAAUGCUUGUCGCUAUUGUUGAUUCAGUGUUAACUUGAAAACUUUCUAGAAUAAGCAAUGAGAUAGGUUCUUUCUUGUGGCUUGGGGAGUCACAAGCUUGCUACCUUGUUUACUGACUGCUAUAUAGAUAUUAGGCAAAAGUAAUAAAAAGUAACUGCAAACAUUACGUCUCACAAGAAGCAUUGCUGUUUUAAUCAUGGAUUUUUAUAUGACAGCAUUUAAUACUGUUUCCUACCUCCCAGUUCUUUUCUACAUGAAGAGAUAAUAUGAUUUAUUAGCCAAAUUUUAAUAGUUACAAUGACAUAUUAAGUAGCUUAAAAUCAGGCUGGUAGAGUGAUAUUUUCAGUCGUAAUCAUAAUGUGACUUAUUGGCCCAUUAUUUUUGAUGUUUAACAAUUAUCCUGUAUAUGUGUAUGGGCCUAUAUGGCUGUAUGUAUAUACCUUCGUACUGAGUUUGUAUUCUUUGUCUACUGUGUAUUCACCUCCAAUUCCAUGUGAGACUUCUUACUCCUGGACUCUUCAGCCCACAGGGCAAUUUUAGGGGCUACUUGAAUUCUAGGGCCUUCUGAUGUGAGAACCUCUGAUGUCACCUCAGAGGAAACCCCAAGUCCUACGAGACGUAUCAAGAUGCCAAAAGCAUCAUGUGAAAUGUGUUUCACUGAACUAGUCUUGGGAAGAAGUCAGAAGAUUUAUUUUAUGAUUUAGAGUUCACCCCGUUUUCUGGUUUGAGUAUCCAUUUUUGAUCAUCUAUAAUUAUAUAAAUAUAUGAGAGAUUCUACAUAUGGAUCUACGUUGAAAGUAAUAUGUAAUCUCUGGUCAUGUAUGGUGCACAGAUAUAGUGUAUAUGCCUCUGUAGAUUUGUAUAUGCCAACACUGGGGCUGGAGCAAUGUCUCAGUGGCCAUGGGAACUCACUGCUCUUGCUGAAGAGCCAGGUUUAGCUCCCAGCACCCACACAGAGGCUCAAAAUAGCUGGAAAGUCUGAGUACUCUCUUCUGGCUUCCAGGGCAUCCUGCACACAGGCAUAUACAUACAAAUACAGUAAGGAAACAAAUAUAAUUUUUAGAAUGUCAAUAUUCAGUACCAGGUUAACAAGAAAACUUUCAAAUACCAAGAAGAAUAUUUUUCAGAUAUAAAAUGGGGCCAUAGGUCCAUGGCAGAAUGCUUUAAUAGUGCAAACAGGGUGCUGGUUCCAUCCCUAUGCAUAAAGGAAAAAUAAAAUAAUUUCAUACACUCCUAAUACUUUUCUGUUCAUACCUACACCAAGGAACUAUGAAGAUUACAUUAACAUUUCUUGAAAAAGUUAUUUAAUAUUUGUGAAUAUCUUUAUUUUUCCCCCAAUCAUCAAAUGAGCCUGUCUGUGUGACAAAGUAAAACCGGAAACUGUUUGGAGUCACGUGGUAAGCUGUAGAUACACAGGUCAAGUGAACCCCUCUGUGGGUCCGGUCUUGGGUUCUGCUUGUGGGAACUGUACCAUAGGCAUACAUAGCUUAGUACAGUUCUGCGCUUGUGCUAAGUGUGGAAGCUGUGUGCGACUCAGGGUUUGCUGGUAGCUCGAGGAGAAAUGCUGAGAGGAUGUUUCUUCCCUACAUUUUGCAGUUGCCUAUAGAAUACCAAGGCCUGAGAGUCUGAUGUUGCUGGGAAAAGCACAUUCCCUCACAGUGGCAGGGGGUGGGAUUCACUCUGAUUGAGUUGGAUAGGUCCCGGAAAGAAAAUAUUUCUUUGUUCACACUCUGUGAUCUUGGCCACUCUGCAGUGUUGUUUUACAAGUUCAAAGGCAC